rnacentral:rRNA from 1 species
GACAGAGGGGGCAAGCGUUGCUCGGAAUUACUGGGCGUAAAGCGCGCGUAGGCGGACCUGCAAGUCGGGGGUGAAAGCCCGAGGCUCAACCUCGGAACUGCCUUCGAUACUGCGGGUCUCGAGUCCGGGAGAGGUGAGUGGAAUUCCUAGUGUAGAGGUGAAAUUCGUAGAUAUUAGGAAGAACACCAGUGGCGAAGGCGGCUCACUGGCCCGGUACUGACGCUGAGGCGCGAAAGCGUGGGGAGCGAACAGG